ACAGCCUCAAUGCGUUUAAGAUAAGCUGGCAAUAAAAAGGCAGAAUCUAUCCCCGAUGAUAGGCUUUUUUUGUUGUGCUUAUUUGUACGAUAUUGAGCAUUCAUUAGUUAAGGUGAGAUAUAGACUAUUUAACUAUAGCUAUAGCAUUAUUUAACUAUGUCUUUUUAAAGAAUGUUUCCAUAUUGUAUGUAUGCAGACCAAAGCCACAUUGUGGAUUUUAGCCUGCAUUUUUUAU
rnacentral:ncRNA from 1 species